rnacentral:rRNA from 1 species
UACGGAGGGUGCAAGCGUUAAUCGGAAUUACUGGGCGUAAAGCGCACGCAGGUGGCUGAGUCAGUCGAUUGUGAAAGCCCUGGGCUUAACCUGGGAAUUGCAGUCGAUACUACUCAGCUAGAGUAUGGGAGAGGGUAGUGGAAUUCCCGGUGUAGCGGUGAAAUGCGCAGAUAUCAGGAGGAACACCGGUGGCGAAGGCAGAUCACUAAACCAUUAUUGACGCUGAGGCUCGAAAGCGUGGGGAUCAAACAGG